GGUUAACGCUGGCGGCGUGCCUAACACAUGCAAGUCGAGCGAGGGCUUGUCUUCCGCAAGGGAGGCGAGUACCGAGCGGCAAACGGGUGAGUAACACGUGGGCAAUCUGCCUGGUAGUGGGGGACAACGUUUCGAAAGGAACGCUAAUACCGCAUACGUCCUACGGGAGAAAGCAGGGGACCUUCGGGCCUUGCGCUAUCAGAUGAGCCUAGGUCGGAUUAGCUAGUUGGUGAGGUAAUGGCUCACCAAGGCGACGAUCCGUAACUGGUCUGAGAGGAUGAUCAGUCGCACUGGAACUGAGACACGGUCCAGACUCCUACGGGAGGCAGCAGUGGGGAAUAUUGGACAAUGGGCGAAAGCCUGAUCCAGCCAUGCCGCGUGUGUGAAGAAGGUCUUCGGAUUGUAAAGCACUUUAAGUUGGGAGGAAGGGCAGUAAGUUAAUACCUUGCUGUUUUGACGUUACCGACAGAAUAAGCACCGGCUAACUCUGUGCCAGCCGCCGCAGUAAAAC
rnacentral:rRNA from 1 species